UUCCGUUGCCACCUGCAGUCAGGUGUUAGCAAACAUUGAGGAACAUUAGCAUUAAUUUUGAGUCGCGUUUCUGCUCAACUGACAAAUAGUUAGAGACCUCCGCGGAGAAUUCAGUGCUUGAUGAAAACCUCCUGAACAUCUGGAUCUUAAGUUAGAAUAAAAAGAGUUGGGAGAUAGUAAAAGCUGGAGACAUGUUGCUUGUGGAUGUGUUUCCAAGGUGAUAAACCUUUCACUCCAAAAGUGACAAGAGGUUGAGAAAUCGCAACAGCCGCUCACACUGCUCUGUUGAGCCAGGCCUUGGGCUGCCAGCGGAGGACGUGAAGUCAAGUUAGGGAGCCAAGGCCACUGUCAGCUCUCAGUGGUUAGAAUAACCCAGAAAAACCUCCUGGGAACCGGGCCUGGAUCAGACCAGCGCUGGCAGGGAGAAUAAGUGAGAGUUUAGUUUAAAGCUUUCAAGCAGUGGCGGACUUGUUGGAACGUGUGAACACAGCCUCCUUCUUCAAUUCCUUCAGUCACCUUUUUCAGCAGGUAAGUGUUGCCAUAUCUGCACAAAUCCAAAAGCCUGGUGACAUCCAAGUCUUUCAUAAUAUUUAAAAGUAGGGUUCUCCUUCCAACUGGGAAUAUGGGCUUUUAUUUUGGGCAUGCAUCUCUACCCAACUGGUCCAGCCACGGAGUCCAGAUUUCUCCUUAGUCACUAGUUCAAGGUCCACAGAGUUGAAUCAGUUCAGCAUCAUGUUUGUCCAUGUCAUUGAGCUAGUCUCUGUUAAGUAGCUGCCUGCCCGCUUAGCCUGACGUGCACCUCCCCAGAAAUGUAACUACACUUUGUAGCGACGCAGUCCUCCUGUAUAUUUUUGUAAGCUGAAGUAUUUUAGGUCUUGUGUGUGAUUUAUCUUGGCUUCAUGUGAGCAGAGGAAGUCUCCGCUUGUCGCUAGGCUAAUACAAUGUAAAAUGCCAUAGGCUUGUACUAUUUUAGCAUGUUGUAUUUGUGGGGAAAAUGUGUCCAGAUAAAGACAAGUGUUUGUCUGUGAAUGCUGCGAGUUAUAGUGAAGCUGAUUUGUGUUCUUGUGUUUGAUAUUGUCGCUAUUAAGUCAUGUUUAAAGUGUGAGUAGAAUCAACUGAACUUCACAGCACUUCACAGAAACCUGCACCGCUGACUAGUGUUUUGGAGGUGUAACUGCAGAGUGACUUAGACACACCACCACACAAGUGUAAAUGCUCACAACAGCAUCUGCGUCAUGUGUACGCUACGGCUUAGGGUCUGCCGCACAACUAUAAAUCCCACUUGAACAUGCAAGACGCCAUGUGUCGCAAACUAUGGGAAAACUCCCAGUUGAGAUGCAUAUUCCGAAUGCUUCCAAUGCUUCUAAAGCCUAAAUAACAAUGACAUAUCCCACAUUUGUCAAUCUGAAAAAGCAACAUUUGGAGUAAGGUCUAUUUCAGAAUACCUAAAGGGAGUAUGCUAUUUAUGUGACCUGUAUCAAAUUCAGAAAACUGUUUGGAUAUUAGAAAUUGCACCUUAUUCUGAAUGUAGCAUUUUCCGAUUAAGACGUGGGAUAUGCCGGUCUUAUUCUGUUUUUAGGAGCAUUCCUUUAAGAUGUAUACAGGGCACUGGGAAUAUGCGUCUCAGUCAGGGUUUUCACCAAAGUUUGCUACACAUGACCUCUUACCUGUUUACAUCCAGCUCUGUGAGUUCUGAUUAUGCAUCCAUGGUUGUAGCCUACACCAACCAACUCACCAACAGUUUGAAAGGCUGGGGUAACGAUACACGCCCAAAAGAAAAGCACACAAUUCUGGUCGGAAGGAGAAAAACACCUACUUUUAAUCAUUAUAAAAAAGACUUGGAUAUCAACAGGGUUUUGGAUAUUCAUACACAUCAUAGCCGCAGGAUGUAUGCAUAGAAAUAGCAUGAAACAUGAUGUACUGUAGCUGCCUCUGAAGAACAAGUCAGAGCUGUUGCUUUUUAUGAAUAAUUCCAAACUUCCCACAGACGUAUUUCACCAUAACUAACAACAAUCACCUUAUCACGGCAAAAACUUCAAUGUACUCUCUAUUUAUUCUAUUUCUGUGGACAUACGUCAUGGGAGCAUUUUACGCUAAUCAAAAGAUGCAUGGCUGCCUGUAAACAGGGAUAUUAUUUGAAUAUUCAUUUACAUUAGCCAUGUAGACAGCUUACAGGACUAUUGUAUGUUUUGGAAUAAGGGCAUAAACCAGAAUAACUUGUGUACAUAAACAUAGUCAGUUUUGUCCUCUAUGGCAGUGGUUUCCAACUGGUCCAUUCACAGGGUCCAGAUUUCUCCUCAGUCAUUAGUUCAAGGUCCACACAGUUUAGUAUAUCAAGUGUCAUACUUGUGUUUGGCCAUGUCGUCGAGCUAGUUUGCUGUCUCUGUCAAGUAGCUGUCUGUUAUUCACUCACUCUACAGCAAUAAACAGUACUUCAUAAUUAGGGAUGCGCGCGAUUAGACAUUUCAACUAUUAAACAUCCACCCCCUUGCUAGUAAGCGACAGAAAUAUUAGUCGGUUAAACCAAUUAGUGUUUUAUUUGUGUACAAGGCUGCUUAGCUGUCAUGCAGCCUCCCGCCACUAGUGGGGGAUACAGAGCCGUCAGACAGCAGCCCCCUUCCCCGCGGUAAUGCUUGAGUAGUUUCAAAACAGCACAGUGGGAAAUAGGAGAGAUGUCCUCUUGCGAAACCAGCGUGGUUUGGCAAGUUAGCAUGUAGGCUGUGUCAGAAAAAAACUGGAGCAAUGCGCAACCACAUUCAACUCCAGCAUUUGGAUGUUAACCUGCGUGGAAUGACGACUGCUGCUGCUAGCGGUGCUAGCCACACAUAGCCCAAAUUGACAUUGUUUACCCAGAGACGCUGUGAUCCCGCCAGGUCUGAGAAGAUAACGCAAGACCUUGCAAGAUAUGCUUCCACUUAACUUUGUUGAAGGUAAAAGCUUCAGGAAGUUAAUGCAAUAUGUUGAGCCUGAAAGUUCAUGUUCGCAUUCAUACCACACAGCACAAAGUGUCUCGUACUUCAGUGGCAUUUAAAAUCUGCCAUGGUUGUUGAAGAUUGUGAUAAAGGGCUCUUAAUGCACACAAUAUUUUUUGGGACAAUGUUUUAAAUGCUUAACAAAAAAUUGUGAAAAUUGUGAGUUGACGAGGGUUCUCUUAGUGAUAUGUACAUUUGCUUAAUGUAUUAAGUUGAACAAAUUAAAAACUCCGGUGCAAAGUAAUGCAAAUGUUAUUAAGCUCUGAGCAAGUCGGCAUGUUGUCUCCACCGCUCAGACAGAGAGCAUUUAACUGCAAAAGAAAACUGUUGAAUGAGUUAGGUGUCAUUAAUCAUUCAUUAAAUACGACAAUAGAUCACACCAGACUUCUGAAAGCAGACUCUCGUGUUACACUUUCAGGCCGAUAGCACAUGAACAUGGCAGGACCUGCUGAUAAGACCCUGCAGGAGCGGUAUAGUAUGUGGCAACUGCUGCAAACCCAACAGAGUGCUAAUCUGGGUCAGAAUACAGACCCGAGCCUGCCCUUCACUAAGACUGUGUGGAUGUAUGAGAGAGGGAGAGAGAGUAUUGGAGGGUUUAGUGAGUUAAUCCUACACCCUCAGUAAUGCUACUUUAACAGUAGGAGAGGACUUAGAGACCAAACACACAUGAUCGACUUGAAGUGAUACCGAGGCCCUGCGCUUAACAUUUCCUGGAUAAUCUGUUUAACUGGACAACAAGGAAACUUAAAAUUAGCCUUUGAUUUAUCAUUUGAUUGAUUACAGUCAGCGUCUGACUGCACAAGUUAAACUACUUCAGGUUAGUAUUAAUGUGAAAUACAAUUCAAUGUUGUUUUAAAGCUUUAAUCACAAAAUCUUAACAUCAUGUUACGUAUCAACUGAAACCCCUUAAACUGAUGUAGCCUGCCAUUUGCCCUCAAACCACCUCAUACAAUGAAAUAUGAAGUAAAGAAAUCCAUCUUCACCCUCUUCUCUCCCUACAUUCCUCUCUUUACAGCCAACAAUAGCUGCCAUCCAUCUCCGCUGGUGGGAAGUCACCGCUGAGGAACCACGGUCAUUGUUGUCAAAACCAAAGAGGAGAGGUGAGGCUCGCGGCCGCCCGUCACCUGAGAGCGCCCGGGGCCCGUCCACGCGUUUGCCACACACACAAGAGGGCCACUACAGAUGACACAAAGGCAGGCGGGGAAAAGGACAAUGAGGUGCAGCGGGAGGACAACAGAGGAGUGAACGUAAGGGCCCUCAUUUGUUAUUUCCCUCAUCCAUCAGUUUUCACCUGGGUUACUCAGGAGAAUAGGUGCGGCUUGCGGAAGAGAAGGGUGAGCUAUUAUGUGAACUGUGCAGGCUUCAAUUAGCUUCCUUUCAAUGAGUGAGGUGGUAAUGGUUACAUAUCUUUCUGCGCCUAAUGGCAUCAAACCCGUGACCUUUAUAUUGUGGAACAUAACCUGUGGCAGGACACGCUGAGCCAUUAGCGAUGCUAGCUUUAAAGGAAUACUUCACCCACAAAAGGACCAUUUAUAUAUCAAUUACACACUGUGUGUUACCUUAAAUUUUUUAAGGAAAACAUUCUCUCUUUAAUGCAUUCCUCCACUGUGAACGGAGAAUCAAAAAACAAGGCGAACAUUCUUCAUGAAUUGAAGUAAUCAGGGUCCGCGUUUAACAACAGUACCGACACGGUAAUCGGUGAACAGCUGAGCGGCCGUGGUGGAAACAAAGUGAAGAUUACUCAAAAAUGCCUCGAGUUGACAGCAGCUACACUCGUUACUGUAAGUGACAUUAAACCUUAGCGAGUAAGAAGCCAAUAAUUUAUCAAUACAUGUAGACAGUGAUAUUCAAUAUGCUCUGUCCACAGUCUCUCAUCCACCGACACUAACGUUAUGUCUUACACAACGACAGCACACUUGUUCGGCUGAUAGCGCAUUGUUACUAAUAAGCUCAAAUGACAGCUGUCUGUAUGUAGACUAACUUAGUUUGACACUUGUCUUAAAAUACUUUUAAACUUAGCUGCUGUCUGAGACAAAGAGCCCCAACUCUCUACACCAGCACUGUUACCUGCACACAGUGAAUCACAGGACAGGAGGACUGACUGAUAAAUACUAGACUUCACUCAGUAUUGUGAUGUCAGGAAUAUUAUUUACACAGUGACUUUGCUGUUGUAAAAAUUACGGUUGCUGCUCUAGAAACAUCAAUUUGUUUUAUUCAAAAUAUUCAAUGAUCCUGUUCUGAAUUUAUUCAUUUAAAAUUAAUAUAUUUUCUAAAAAGCAAUUAUUUAGAAAUGAAAAAGAACCGAUAAGAGUACCGAUAAAGGUAGUAGUAUCGAUAAAAUCUUAACAAUACCCAACCCUACUGAGCAUACAACUGUAUAGAUGAGACUUGGGUUAUACUGCACGAGUUUGUGACAGAAAUGGAUGUUUUGAUAUGGUUUUGCUGUUGUUAAAUGCCGACCCUGAUUGCUUCAACUCAUGAAUGAAAGUUAAACAUUUUUGGAUUCUCUGUUCACCAUGGUAGUAUGCAAGAAAAACAAAGUUUUCCUCCCAAAUUUUGAGUAACACACGAUGAGUAAUUGAUAUACAAAUGUUCAAUUUGGGUGUGGAGUGUUCCUUUAAUGCAUCUCAGACCAGGUUCAUGCUUAAAGCAGCGAUCCAUUACAUUUCCAUACAACUUAUUCAGUUGUAUGGAAAUGUAAAUUUCUGAAAAUUAUUAUGUUGUAUGUUUCCUGCAGUUACAGAAAGAAAACUUCAGCAGCAAACCCACAGAGCACAAGUCACUCUUUGAUUGACACGUGACUAAACACCACAGCUAUGACCCUUUACUACAAAAAAGUUAAAACAGAACAAUCACUAAUCUGCUGGAUUGCUACUUGAAGUUGCUGCUUGCAUAUGUGCCCCUGGUUAACAAGAGCAUCCUGAUGACUGGUGUAAAUCCAUGUCAAGUUUCUAAUAAACGCUAUGCGUGCUUGAAAGAGCACACAUUGCUAAUAAGGUUUUUCACUUAAUAAGCCAAUCAAUACAUUGAACUGGAUGCCUCCUUUCUUAGACUCCGAGGGGGAUUCCAGAGGGGCCAAAUCAACAGGGACACACAUUCACAUGGACAAUACGAGGGGGCACAAAAUCCCCAUCGGGACCUGUUUUUUCCCCAAUGUUCGUUAAUAGUAAAAGUUCAUCCACCAGAAAGAGAAGUAGAGGGUGGGGGGAGGGAUCUUGACCCCCCAGCAGAAGGUUAACAAAUUUGUGCUUAAUGAUUGGAGCAAUGAAUCCUGGGACAAAGGGUCUCCAGCCGAGACUGGCAGCAAAGGGGUUACAGGCAGCGCUCACUCAAGCGUUCUGCCCGACAUUUUGGGAAAAGCUGAGAGUGGGGAGGGCCAGAAAAAAUUCCAUACGCUCUGCGCCAUAAUUAAUUCUUCCACCCUGUGAUAACUAUUGUCCUGAAACUGAAAAUUACAGUUUUCAGGGGCCACCCCCGGCUAAUUUCGUGGAAAAGGGAAAGCAGGGGAGAGGAAGAAGGGAAAGGGGGUAAGGGUCAUCCGAGAGUCAUUCUCGUCGCUAUCAAAGGCUCAGCUCGCUUCUGCUUCACUUGCUGGGCUUCAUCUCGGCUGACAGGUGUAUUGUUUCACAAGGGGAUAUAAGCUCUGUAAUCAUCAUUGGGUGGAAAGCAUAACGCUCUUCACUAAGCAGGACUAAUUGGCUUUAGUUUUAACUAAUGUUUCAGUGUGACUGCUAGACACACCUUCUGUAUCAAGGCUCAGCACUCCCCAGCACAAUAACCGCUCAAUUUAGCCCCGCGGUAACAAAACCUCAACUCUGCUAAUGAAAAUUGCUUAUAAAAUAUAAUGAACCUGUGCUCGCGUAAUCAAAUAAGAUAACCGUUCCCCCCCUCCCGUAAUAACCUAUUAAUUUAAUUGGUCAUGAAAGAAUAUAAGACAUCACUUACAUUUAAUUGACCUAGAAAGGAAAGUAGCAAUAUUUGACGGAGGCAAGCUAGCAGCUAGCAACGGCUAGCUAAUGAAGCUGUAAAAGACUGACUAGUCGUGAGGAAGAGUCGACAUAUUUCUGUCACCAUCUCUCUCCCAGCUUCUAUCUUUUUCCCUCCCUCCUCCUCUUUCCUUCCUUCCUCCCUCCUUUUACUCCCUCUUCCCCCUCCCUCUUGUCGUUUACGCUUCUCUCGCUCGCCAUCUCUUCAUCCGCCCCUCCCUCUUUCUGUCUACCCCUCUCUCUCUGUCUUUUUUCUUCCGCUGUCUACUCGUCCUCUCUGUGCUUUGCCCGUCUCGCAGAGGAUUCCUCUGGUGGCCCAAUUACGAGAUUCAGCAGGCAAAUUGAGGCUGUUUAAAGCAAGGUCUGCUGGGAAGGCUAGCAGCUGCUGGAAAGAGGCAGCUUGGACAUGGCGAACCAGCCCUCAUGUUUACACACUCACACACAUAAACACAGACACACACACACACACGACUCAUUCUGAAAGCACAGCCUUUCUAUUACCAUGUCUCCCUGCAUUUCAAACCUGAAAGAUGCCAUUCGAUGUGAGAUUUUCUUUCUUUGCUUUGGUCGUGGACAUUUGUGACAGAAACAAGGGCGGAAUAUUAUCAUCGCCGCACGCACGUGCAUGCACGCACAUUCUGUGGAGGGUUAAUGGUCUCUAUUUUUGUAAACUGAAUAAGUCAAAUCCAUUGGUCACACCUCUGGUGAUGGCAUAUUUAAUUUGGAUCUAGUCAAUUAGGCCCAGCUAAGCUCCAUACCCUGCUGGCUACCUCCUCCAUUUUGCACUAGUUUGUGUCCCCUCCCUGUGCCAGGAGUAAUCCUAUUACCAUACACACACACAUGCACAUACGUACACACACAUACACAGUUAGACAGACAUGCACGUUUGUACGCGUGCACACACCCACACAUGUGCAAAUGCAUGUAUUUCACAUAUGAAUGUUUGUAUGUGAGAUACAUGCACCCACACAGGUAUACACACAGGUUCACACACACUAAACAAUGAUUUUUCUCACAACAAUUGGACCCGUAGCCACUUUCUACACACUGUGCACUGUGACAACACCAAGCCUGUAUACAUCCAGAAUUAUGUGGGAGUCUAUUUGGCCCUGGGGCGAGAGGGAGGGAGGGAGAGGGGGGAGGAGAGGAGGUGAGAGAAAGAGAGAGAGGCAGAGAAUUAAAGAGAAGAAGAAAAAAGGUGUUUGUGUGAAAGAGAUAGGAGGAAAAUUGACAGUGAGAAAAACCACAAAGAGGGAGUGAGACAGAGCGAGCAUUAGAAAGACAGAGAGAGGAGGGGGGGAGUUGGUGGGGGGGGGGGGGGCUCCUCUAGCUGGUUAGUGUGUGUAUUAAUGUGGCUCAUGCAUCAACAGCAACCCGGCAGAUUUAUGACACUUAAGGGGCGCUCACUUCUCUCCCUCUCCUUGCACCAGCGACGACUGCUUACAUUUUUGCCAAUCAGUCUGUUGCCAUGGCAACGUCCUACCUGCCCCCCCCCAACUCCACCCCACCCUCCUAGUCCCCUACUCCACCCUAUCUCAUCCCCACCUCCCCUGUCCCGACCCGUCCCCGCCUUCUUUCCUUCUCAUCACUCCUCUCCUCCUCUUUCCUCUCUGCCCCAUUCACCUUCUUUCUCCUCCUAUCUGUUUGGCGCACACACACACACACACACUCACACUAAGAAUAUAUGUUUCAUAAAAAUAUACUUUUAACAUUACACAAUUGUUUGAUUUUCAGUCAUUUUAAAUUUCAUACUCAAACAUUCAAAAUGUGUUCACGUCAUUCAUUACCAUCAAUUAUUGUUAUUUGUGUAUCGUAUGCACCCACACGUGUUCAAACUAUGUAGUUUUAUCUCCCCCCUCUGCCUUUCUUCCUCACUUUGCCUUGUUUUUUAUCCUGACAACCUUCUCUUCUUUCCUCUCCUCCCUGAUAUGAAGGAUGUUUCGUCCUGUAGCUAUUGGAUAUGUGAGACAGCGAAACAGCUACACACUCACACACACAUUACAUACACAAAGAAUUACAAGGUUGUGAUCAAAGGCUCUUAUCACUAGACCGAGGGUGGAACAGUUACAGAGAGAGUAACAGAGAAAAAUCCGCCUGGGAAAAACUAUUCAAACACAUAAAAAAGUACAAAAGUAUUCCCAAAUAUCAGUGUGGAUUGUAGCCGUUUGCAAAAACAAGGACUUGUGCUAAUUAAAACUCCCAUAACUUAAAUAUUUUCAUAAUUAUUUUGUGCAAAAUAGAGAUUCCAUUUUUGAAACACGUUAAAUCGCAAUCCAAAAACAGAUCCGCACCUACUGAUCUGCUGUAAAUUUGUCCAUGAAUAUUGUUCUGUAUAUCUAACUCUGAGACCCCCAUUCAGAAUGUUGUAAACAUGCCUCUACUGCAUUGAAUUCAAUAAAUCUGUGUC